GACGAACCGAGCGAACGUUGUUCGGAAUCACUGGGCUUAAAGGGCGCGUAGGCGGGCUGUCAAGUCUGGGGUGAAAUCCCACGGCUCAACCGUGGAACUGCCUUAGAUACUGACGGCCUCGAGGGAGAUAGGGGCGAGCGGAACUGUGAGUGGAGCGGUGAAAUGCGCAGAUAUCAGGAAGAACACCCGUGGCGAAGGCGGUUCUCUGGGACGGUACUGACGCUGAGACGCGAAAGCGUGGGGAGCGAACAGG
rnacentral:rRNA from 1 species